UACGGAGGAUCCAAGCGUUAUCCGGAUUCAUUGGGUUUAAAGGGUGCGUAGGCGGACUUGUAAGUCAGUGGUGAAAGCCCUCAGCUUAACCGAGGAACUGCCCUCCAAACUGUCUGGCUUGAGACCGGGAGAGGUGAGUGGAAUUCCCAGUGUAGCGGUGAAAUGCGUAGAUAUUGGGAGGAACACCAGUGGCGAAGGCGGCUCACUGGACCGGUACUGACGCUGAUGCGCGAAAGCGUGGGGAGCAAACGGG
rnacentral:rRNA from 1 species